rnacentral:rRNA from 1 species
UACCAGCACCCCGAGUGGUCGGGACGUUUAUUGGGCCUAAAGCAUCCGUAGCCGGUUCUACAAGUCUUCCGUUAAAUCCAACUGCUUAACAGGUGGGCUGCGGAAGAUACUAUAGAGCUAGGAGGCGGGAGAGGCAAGCGGUACUCGAUGGGUAGGGGUAAAAUCCGUUGAUCCAUUGAAGACCACCAGUGGCGAAGGCGGCUUGCCAGAACGCGCUCGACGGUGAGGGAUGAAAGCUGGGG